rnacentral:rRNA from 1 species
UCAGGAUGAACGCUGGCGGCGUGCUUAACACAUGCAAGUCGAACGAUGAUGCCCACUUGUGGGUGGAUUAGUGGCGAACGGGUGAGUAACACGUGAGUAACCUGCCCUUGACUCUGGGAUAAGCCUGGGAAACUGGGUCUAAUACCGGAUAUGACCUUCCAUCGCAUGGUGGUUGGUGGAAAGCUUUUGUGGUUUUGGAUGGACUCGCGGCCUAUCAGCUUGUUGGUGGGGUAAUGGCCUACCAAGGCGACGACGGGUAGCCGGCCUGAGAGGGUGACCGGCCACACUGGGACUGAGACACGGCCCAGACUCCUACGGGAGGCAGCAGUGGGGAAUAUUGCACAAUGGGCGCAAGCCUGAUGCAGCGACGCCGCGUGAGGGAUGACGGCCUUCGGGUUGUAAACCUCUUUCAGUAGGGAAGAAGCGAAAGUGAC